rnacentral:rRNA from 1 species
UGAGGCGGUCAUAGCGAAGAGGGUCCACCCGUUCCCAUUCCGAACACGGAAGUUAAGCUCUUCAGCGCCGAUGGUACUGCACGGGAGACUGUGUGGGAGAGUAGGUCGCCGCCGAUC